rnacentral:tRNA from 1 species
GCCUAGUUAGCUUGGAGGGUAGCGCAUCUGCCUUGUAAGCGCAAGGUCGCGGGUUCGAUUUCCCGCUUUGGGCG